AACCAUAGAAACCUGCGGAGUACCUGCGGAGGGAUCAUUAACAAAUGCUCCACAUUUUAACUGUGUGAACUGUACUUUCAACUUGGUUGUCUUCGUGUCAACCACCGUUUUUAAACUCUUUAAACUCAAUUACCAUAAGCCUGAGAUGAAAUGCAAAAUAGUAAACAACUUUUAGCAACGGAUCU
rnacentral:misc_RNA from 1 species